rnacentral:rRNA from 1 species
AGUCCAAAGUGGGUGGUAAACUCCAUCCAAGGCUAAAUACUGGCGCGAGUUGCUCAUGUUGCAGUCCAAACCGUGCUUUGUGUACCUGGGUGAUACCGAUCUUAUGCGGUGUCGCAUUUAACAGUAUCGGAAGCCGCUUGGAGCGCUUGCCAGCGUUGUUAACUGCGCUUCUUCGCAGUCGAAAGUUGAAAAGUACUCUGAAGAGAGAGUAAAUAGUACGUGAAACCGAUUGCAGGGAAGCUGGUGGAGUCAAGCUUCAUGCUUGGAGAAUUCUCGCUCGGAGCCUUGUUUGUGCGUUGGGUUGCUGAGGCUCCAUCCAAGGCUAAAUACUGGCACGAGUCCGAUAGUAUGAACGGAGAUUAGCCCAGCGCCGAAGCCUAUCUGCAUUUGGCGUCUAUCUCCCACCUCUGGUGCUUUAUUCUCCGUGACAUACAUCACGG